rnacentral:rRNA from 1 species
GAUGAACGCUGGCGGCGUGCCUAAUACAUGCAAGUCGAGCGAACAGACGAGGAGCUUGCUCCUCUGACGUUAGCGGCGGACGGGUGAGUAACACGUGGAUAACCUACCUAUAAGACUGGGAUAACUUCGGGAAACCGGAGCUAAUACCGGAUAAUAUAUUGAACCGCAUGGUUCAAUAGUGAAAGACGGUUUUGCUGUCACUUAUAGAUGGAUCCGCGCCGCAUUAGCUAGUUGGUAAGGUAACGGCUUACCAAGGCAACGAUGCGUAGCCGACCUGAGAGGGGGAUCGGCCACACUGGAACUGAGACACGGUCCAGACUCCUACGGGAGGCAGCAGUAGGGAAUCGGCCGCAAUGGGCGAAAGCCUGACGGAGCAACGCCGCGUGAGUGAUGAAGGUCUUCGGAUCGUAAAACUCUGUUAUUAGGGAAGAACAAAUGUGUAAGUAACUAUGCACGUCUUGACGGUACCUAAUCAGAAAGCCACGGCUAACUACGUG